UACGUAGGGGGCAAGCGUUGUCCGGAUUUAUUGGGCGUAAAGCGCGUGUAGGCGGCCAGAAAAGUCCGCUGUGAAAACUCGAGGCUCAACUUCGAGCUGUCGGUGGAAACUUUCUGGCUAGAGUCCGGAAGAGGAGAAUGGAAUUCCUGGUGUAGCGGUGAAAUGCGCAGAUAUCAGGAAGAACACCCGUGGCGAAGGCGGUUCUCUGGGACGGUACUGACGCUGAGACGCGAAAGCGUGGGGAGCGAACAGG
rnacentral:rRNA from 1 species